rnacentral:rRNA from 1 species
CAGUCGCCGCGGUAACACGUAGGUGGCAAGCGUUGUCCGGAAUUAUUGGGCGUAAAGGGCUCGCAGGCGGUUUCUUAAGUCUGAUGUGAAAGCCCCCGGCUCAACCGGGGAGGGUCAUUGGAAACUGGGAAACUUGAGUGCAGAAGAGGAGAGUGGAAUUCCACGUGUAGCGGUGAAAUGCGUAGAGAUGUGGAGGAACACCAGUGGCGAAGGCGACUCUCUGGUCUGUAACUGACGCUGAGGAGCGAAAGCGUGGGGAGCGAACAGGAUUAGAUACCCCGGUAGUCCCUGUCUCUUAUAC